CUGUGAAUAAGGUUUCUUGUUGUUUGGUUGUGUAUUUCGUCGGACAACCAACAGUUUGUUGUGAGGCGAAGGAAGGGGGUUUCCGGCAGAUGAGGUUUCGUGGAGGGAGCUCGUCGGUAGUGAUAUUGUUGUUCGACGGUGUGGUUAUGAAGUGGUUCUUUGGUUGAUGGAAGACGGUGAAGUGAAGCACGGUAAAGUAGGUUGGGUUUGCCGGCGGCGAAGGUGAAGGGUUGUUGAUGACGGUGUGUGAGCAAGCUUUUCCCCGGUAUUGGUGGCGGAUGGAGAGAGGAUGGGGUUUGGUUUUUGUGUGUUGAAGUGGAGAUGAAGGAAGAAGAAGGUUAUGGUGGUGGCUUGCGUUUCGUGGACGGAGAUGUGGGGAGCGGCGAUGAGGGUUUGUGUUGAGAGAGAGAGCUUCUUUUUCGUCCCGUUGAGAGAGUGUGGAGAGGGGUAUUUGUUGGUCAGUGGAGAUGAAGGAGGUCCCCUCUCCUUUUUUAUUUUUUAUUUUCUUUUUCUUUUGAGAGCCGUUGGAGUCUCUUUCUCUUUUGUCUUUAUUCGCCCCCUUUAACCAAAAGCCACAUGUCUUAUAUUGUACCGAUAGAGGAGAAAGAUUUUCUCUUGGUGACAGCUGUGGGAUAUGAACGAAUUCUUCUUUUAUUAUUUGAAUUUUGGAGACUAAUUUUCUUUUUUUUAAAAAAAUUAACUAAGGCAAAAAAAAAAGAUUUAAAUAUAAUAUUGAAAUGAUUUCCAUUUAAAUAUAGUUGUUAUCUUAACUUAAAAGCAAAACUAAAAAGGAUUAUCAACGAAUAAAAAUCGGAUAAAAAUACUUGAAAAUUUAAAUUAGAUACACUAAAAUGAUCAACGCGAAAUAAAUUUAUUGAAAAAAUACAGCGUUUCUUUAAAUUUUGAAAUAGAUUUGCACCGGUUAAAAGACUCAGGCGGGUCAAAAUGCAACUGAAUCAGCUGCUGGAAAAUACAACGAGCACACCAAGUUAAACUACAUGAACCGUAGAUUAAUAAUAUUGGCGUCUGCAAUUUUAAAAUUUCGAAACUUUUUAUCCGCUCAUUUUGUUCGUAUAUGAGGAAAUGAUUCAACCGAUUUGUCUGUAUUUUCAAUAAAUUUAUUCUGACUGAUAUUUUAGUUUUUAUUCAUGAUGGAAUGCAUGUCAUGCUGUGCAUAUGAUGCAAAUUAAAAAUGAAAUCGAUUUUACAAAAAUUUAAAUAUGCCCGGACAAAAUUGGGGUAUGACAAGGGCACCGUACAUUACGAUAUUCCUUAGUUACUCUAUCUCUCAUCAAUCCGUCCUUUGUGUGUGACCCUAUAGGUUUUCGCGACAUUGGCAAUUAUAUUAAAUCACAUAUUUAACAUAAUAGACAGUGAGCGGUAUCUAGUAACACAUUAUUGCUACCCAAGACACGAAAAUGUCAUGUGAUAUGACAAAUCCUUCUGUGAUAAUAAUUAUAUGUAUAAUUACCCUUUUGCCCUUAUGUCUAUAUUGAACACAAGGCAUAGACCGUGUCAUCCUUGUCCAGUUCAAUAUUGGACCCAUAGACAUUUAUUCCUGUUACGCAGGAUGGCAAAUUCAUCUAGGUCAUCAUGUCCCUUAUCAUUGCUUCAAUGAGUACCCAUCAACUGUCUUUAUGGUCAUCCAGUUAAGGACAAUGUUUGAUCAACAAUAAGGCACUCGACUCUACAUCUAGGUCCAUAGUGGUUUCAGGUCCAAGGGUGGUAUACACAUCAUUAUCACCAUGAGAAAACUUAUGACACUUUGUAUAACAUUCUAUAUAGUAUCUCAUAGCGGGUCAAUCCAGUAUAAAUAUCACUCUUAAUAUUCAUACCUAUGUUAAGAUUGAUAACUCCUUAUCCAUGAUCCAUUAAGAUGUGAUCAUCAUCUAAUACAUAAUAGUCUUAAUGCUUUAAUGUUAUCCCACUUCACAAUAAAGCUCGACUAUGGAUACUUUAAGAAUAAUGUCCUUAUGUUUAAUGUGAUCUCAUGAUUAAGUCACAAUUGAUACCUUAAACGGACUAUCUAUUCUAGGGACUUUAUAAGACAAACAUAAUAAAGAAAAAACCUUUUAUUAUUAAUAAAUAACUCGAUACAAGUACCAAAAGUAUUGGCCUCUAGGGCUUACACCAACAGUGUCGACAAGGGAGUAGCGUGAAACGGCGGACCGUGUUGACAAAUCUUGGGUUCAACAAGUGUGUGCUUGGGAUUAAUUCAGCCGAGUAAAAUCCUUGAGACAAGGAGGUCGUGCAAGGAAGAAACAACAACAGGUGGAUUGAAGUGGCAAUGUUGGUGACUUGAUCAAUCUUUGAUCAAGGUUUUUGGAGGUUCUAGAGUCAAGUUCAAACUUAGGGUUUAUGGGAUUUGAUUUCUCAUCUCUUGUAUUCAUACAUUUGCAAAGUAAGAUUUAUUAUAUUAAUAUCUCAAUUCAAAUUAGAAUUGAGGGCAAACGUACCCAUAGCGAGGUCGAUUUUGGAACCACCUAAACAAAUCCUUGCGUACUCUCUCUCUCUCUCUCUCUCUCUCUCUCUCUCUCUCUUAUUUUUCAAUUCGCAAAUUAUUGAUUGCUUUAAUCAUCGGAUUAACAUAGUUUGGAUCAUAAUUUUGAUUACAUUUUGAAUCUUGUGUUUGUUGUAUUGAUCAUUAACCAUUUGGUUGUGAUUGUAUUUCUUAGAACAACAAACACCAUCUAAAAUUCCAAACUUUGUUUUUUGCACACCAAGUGUUCGACAAAUUGUUUGACUUAGGUUUUUGUGUGUGGAUAUCGUUGGAGAUAGAAUUUUACUAUUGUAGAGUAUUCAAUUUAGUUUUACUUAAUAGUUGUUGAUUGACAUGUGGAUUAUUAUCAUUUUAUUGGUACUAUUAUGCAUAUAUGGGCUUUUCAAUAGUAGGUUCGGUUAGACGAUUUUGGAUCCGGGAAAUAUUUGAAACUUGCUUUCGUGCCAAGAGCUUUCUAAAUCAAAUUUUCAAUAAAUUUUUAACUUGGGAUCUAUUCACCCCCUAUAGAUCUAGGCCUAUCAACUAAAAACACUAUCUAAAUUUGCAUUCGAAUUAAGGGCAUACGUACCCAUAAUGAGGUUGAUUGGGAAACUGUCUAAAGAAAUCCUUAUGUACUCUAUUGAUCACACACUAAGUGUUAGACAAAUUACUUCACUUGAUUUUUUUUUGUGAAUUUUAAUUGGAGAUAGAAUUUCCCUAUUACUUUGCAUUCAACUAAUUAUGAUUAGUUGUUGUUGAUUGACUUGUGAAUCAUUAUCAUACCGUUAUCUUUAAUAUGCAUAUUUGAGCUUUUUGAUAGUGGGUUCAGUUAUUCAAUUUUUGAUCCAGGAUAUUUGUAACUUGCUUCCGCACCAUAAAAUUUUCAAUCUAUCUUUUGUCAAUUUCUUAACUCGGGAUCUAUUCAUCCAUCUAGAUCUAGGCCUAUCGUCUAACGAGUGGUAUCACAAGCUUCAGUUAAUUCAUUGCUUAAGAUUUUCUUAUUAGAUAAUGACCACCAAACCUAAAAUGGCGUACAAUAAAGCACCAAUUUUCACCAACAAAAAUUAUGGCUAUUGGAAAGCUUGUAUGCAUAUUCAUAUAAACUCGAUUGAUAAGGGUGUAUGGUACAUAAUCAUCAAUGGUCCUCACGAAAUUACUAUGACCAAUGGUGAAGGCGUCGUCGUACCAAAAUCAGAAAAGCAAUGGAAUGAUAAUGAUAAGAAAUUGCAGUCUUACGAUUGGAAAGCAUAAAACAUUUUCAUAUCCGUACUCGGUAUUGAUGAAUUUUAUCGUGUUUCCCAUUGUGAAACCACCAAGGCUAUGUGGGACACAUUACAAGUUACCCAUGAGAGAACUAAUGAGGUCAAACAAGCUAGGAUCAACAUAUUGCAUUAAGAGUUUGAACUCUUUCGUAUGAAGCAUGGUGAAACCAUUUCCAUGCGAAAUAGGUUCACCCAUCUUAUUAACAGGUUGAACUCUCUAGGUAAGCCUAUUUCUAAUGAUAUUGCUACAAAUAAGGUUUUGAGAUGUCUUAAUAGGGAAUGGAAACCCAAGGUCACCGCUAUCAAACAUACGAAUGAUCUUAAGGUACUUGAUCUCACCAUUUUGUUUGGAGAGUUGGAAGAACAUGAGCAAGAAUUCAGUUGCUUGAAGAAACACAAGAAAGAGCAUGAGAAAAUUGUAAAGAAGGAGAAAGGUAAAGAUAAGGUGGAAGAGGCGAAGUCUAUUUCUCUAAAUACUUCUAGCUCAAAGCCCUCAUAUAUUAAGCAAAGUUAUUAUGAAACAAGGGAUGACAAGAACUUCGAUGAUGAGGACAUAUGAUUGUUUUUCAAAAGGUACCAAAGGUAUAUAAGGGAAAUGGAGUCAAGCACUAUGACAAGAACUUAGACAAGUUUAGAAGGGUAACAAAAUCCUCAAGGGAAGAUGAGAACAGUAAAGGUAAACUUAUAAGUUAUUGCUACAAUUGUGGAUAGUUUGGUCACUAUAGACUAAAAUGUCCUAAGAUUAAGAAAGACAAAGACAGAGGCCAUAAUAAGAAAUCUAGCAAGUCUAGAAGAGCCUAUGUUGCUUGGGAGUGUGAAAAUGAUAUCUCAAGUGAUGAAAGCUCUACUUCAAGUGUAGAAUUGGCCCGGAUUUUCCUCAUGGCAAAUAGAAAGAACAAUAAAAUUAUAAGUCUUUCUAAGCUUGAAUCUAUUAAUGGCUAUCUUAUCUUUAAUUAUAAAAAUCUUUAGAAGAUGUUAAAUUGGACGUUAUCAAUCCUAAUUCUAGAUGGAACCUAAACAAGGAAUGAUUAUGUAUAGUUUGUGUGUGUGUAUGCAUAGAAUAAGGUUGAAGAUGAUGAGAAUGCUUUGAAAUCCCGGUUUCAUGUAGGUUUGCUCUAGAACCUUACUAGAAAUGAUGCUUGUAUCAAGUAUAUAUAUGUAAGCAAGUAUGAAGCAAAAGUAAUUCAAAAAGAAUAGAAAAUAAUUCAAAAUUUCAUGAUUUUUAAUGUAUGUGUCUACCUAUGUAAUUCGUGUGUCGACACAUAGGACGCAUGAGUCAACUCGUAGAAGCCAUGCAUUGACCUGUAAAGGUUAUGUCCCGACCUAUAGAGGCGACACAUCAAACAUAGCCUACAGGCUUUAAAAAUGCAGUACACAAGUCGACCUGAAAAACGUAUGUGUCGACCUAUAGAGGGUAUGUGUCGACACACAACUAUUUUUCACAUGAAAAUGAAUUUUUGAUGCAUGAAACAUUUUCUCUUAUGCAUGAAACCUUUUGUUUGAUGCAUUAACCUUUUCUAACAUGUUGUUAUGCUUCUUAAUGCUAAAAUUCACAACUAGACUCAGAGGAUAUCGUUUAAUGUACAUAAACGCUAAAGUAUCAUAGUUUUGACAUCAUACAAAAUACAUCUAAUAGAAAGUUGCACUCACAUGGCUUUCCUUUGAAGGGAUAUUAGGUGAUUUUAGAACCUUCCCCCAUCGAACUUUCAAAUACUAGGCUUGGUAAGGUCAUAUGGAGAUAGCUAGGGGCCAAUGUUGGAACAAAUGGAUAGUGUUUUAUAUGAUCUAACUCUAUGUCGAAUACGUAACAUUUGAAAUAGACACAUUUAUGGGUUUCUCGACUAUUGGUCUGUGAGCAUCAAUGCCUUCAUCUUCCCACCAAGAAUCAUCACCAAUAUCCUUAUUGUCAUGGUGAAACAUCAUUUGUUCAUAAUGCUCAUAUGCCCUAUUAGGAUUCAAUUUUUAAAAUAAUAGAUUAUAGUAUUCCAAUAUAUUAGGGUAUUCCAAUACAUUAGGGUAUUCCAAAUUCUUGGUAUUUAAUACCAAAUCAUAAUGUGAUGCUACUAAUAGAGAUCAUCAUGCUUAUUUCUAUAACAUCGUUAGGAACAAUAAAUAUAUGAUUCCCUUUUGAGUUAUGGGGAGGGGGAGGACAAUAACUUAGGCCUAAUGUUUUUAUGUAUUCAUUCUCUCUCUCUCUCUCUCUAAUAUUUUGGAUCAGAAAAUCAGAAAGAAAGAUACCAAACUUUUUAAAGGUCUUGUCGAAUAUUUAACAUAUUCACUUAUAUGAGUGUUUAGGGGGAUCCUUAGUUUGGUAUCCUCUACAACCUCACUCCGCCACAUCGAUUAUUGAGAAGUUGUGUUCACUUAGUGGGACAAUUGUCAGAGCUUUGGGGGAUAACCAUUAGAGUCCUUAUUUUAUCCAAACCUUGUAUACCUUUUUGAGUUAUCGAUUAUCAUUUAUGGUUCUAGGGGGCUUUGGUCGAGUGCUUUCUUGGCUACCAUGAGAGCUACACCAUGUGAUGUUUGCAUCUUAUGGCUUGCUUCAUUAGAAGCCUAUGGAUCAGGAUUCCUGGAGGCAUCAGGCAUUCCGUAAGGUAUAGGAAAAUGAAAUGACUUUUCUAACUCUUAUAGGUCGUUGUAAUAGUCCAUAAUUAUCUGUCUAGGAUAAUAACCAUUGAUACUAAUAUUUGGUACUAGAUACAUCAAUGUAAAUAUCUGGAAGUGAAACAUAUUAAUUUUUUUUACAAUAAUACAAUCAUGAUAAGUAGCACAUCAUUAAUCUGAUAAGUCUUUAGCACAACGAAAAUAUCCACCAUUGAUCCUCAGUGCCACGUCCACAAUUGCCACUCCAAUCUAAAUACUUGCUAACUAAAUAAUACAACAAGAUAAGGUGAGAUACUAAUCUUAGUGGAUUCUCGAUUUAAAUCAAUGGAUCUCUCCCUACCCUUCUACCCAUAUCAAGCUCUACUUGAAAAGUCUAUCAUGUAGAUCACAUCCACCCAAUAAAGUCGGACUAUUGAUUAAAAGCCUCAAACCAUCUCGUAGAGGAUUUCCCUAUUUCAUCUUACCUAUAUAAUUAAUAUACUAAAAUAGAAUACCCAUACACCAUGGUUUCCCAAAUUGGCAAGUUAGAACAAAAACAUACUUAAAUACUUGUAAAGGUGUCGUGCUAUAACAUACAUCCUAAAUCUCACACACGGGGAAUCCAUUAUUUGGUUGUGCUAUUCGAGAGAAACAUAUGACUUUAUGCAUCAUGAUAUAUCCAUCCCUUAGUACGUCUAAAUAGAUGACAACAAUCAGUUCACUAGGAGGUCUUCCAACUUACGAAAACCCUUAAUAAAUCAUAACCAGUAAAAGAAAGUACCAGUGACAGUCAAUAUCACUAUAAGAAAAAAAAUGCAUUUUGAGGUGGUUUUUUCUGGAAUUUGCGGCAGUUCAAACCGCCUCAAUACCUUGGUUGCGAUCAUUUAUUAAUAGUCACAAAAUUGUGUGUUGUCAGCAUGUUCUGCGAUGGUUUGAAAUACCGGCACUCCAAAAGGGGUUAUUAUUUGCGACGGUUUAGAAAACACCACCCUAACCGUCCUUAAAUCUUAAGUUGUGAUUGUUUCAAACUAUUGUGAAUUUUAUUUGGUGUUUUGUAACUAUUAUAAAUUCAUAGGUAAAACCACAAGUAUUUUCACAUCUAAAUCCGCAAGAAAAGUUUAAUCCGCAAGUAAAUUUACAGAUAAAUUUGCAGCUAAUAUAUUUCUAAAAUUUAGAAAAAAUUAUAUUUAUUUGUUAAAUAAGAAAAAACCUAAAAAAAAUUAUAUUUAUUUGGUUCUGUUAAAUACAAAAAAUACUAACGAUUCAAAAACACAAAAGAUAAGUUGCUGCUUUAUGCUAAACAAUUCAAAAGAGAAUAAAAGUUAGCAGAACAUGUAUAAGAAAGUUAAAAGAACAUGUACAAGAAAGAACAAGUCAAGGAUUAAUGAAACAAAAAAAAGUGCAUAAUUAAUUUAAUUUAAGCCUCUAAUUUGUAUUUGAAUGUAUCCAUAGUUUCUUCCAAUAUGUAUACCACAAAAGAAACAAGGUUGUUGCAGUAAUCAAUAACAGAGAACAAAUAUGAAUUUCAAGUUUAUAUUAUGAUAAUUCCGGAAAUAAAUGAUCGAGAACAAUUAAAUACCAACACACAGGCACAAAAUUUGUACACUGUUCUUUGCAAGUUAUGAAGAUUACAGUUGCAGUUUCAUCUCCA
rnacentral:lncRNA from 1 species